CGCCGCCCGGGGCGGGGGGUGGGGUGCGGGCCCCGGAGGGGCGGCCGGGGCGGGCGGCUGCGGGGCUGCGGGGCUGCGGGGUCAGCGCCGGCCGCCCUGCCCUCCCGGCCCGGGCCCCGCCGGUGCCUGGGCAGGUCGCAGCCGGCCUGCUCGGGGAGACUGCGGGGAGGCCCCGGGCCGUGUGCCCCCCGGGCCUUGUGCCCCCCCGGGCCGUGUGCCCCCCCAGGCCGUGUGCCCCCCGGGCCGUGUGCCCCCCGGGCCGUGCCCGCGCCUGGCAGGCCUGGGUCGAUGGCUGGUGCCGUGGGAAGGCGGGCGGUGGGCACGCACAGUGUGUGGCGAGGGCCCGUCCCUCUGUCCUGUCUGGGUGGGACUGGUUGUCCCCCAGUAAGUCUGUACCGGCUGCAAACACAGAAGGGUGUCUUGGCUCGUGUUAAAACAGGCCUGUGUAAGGCCCAGAACAACUGCACAAACACGGGACCCCCUACAGCAUCUCCCGCCACCUGCUUCUGUGAUUCCUUAGCCUGUCGACUCACAUGCUGUUCUGGAAGCUAAGAAAAGCGCCUGCCACGCUGAAAAUGCUCCUGGUUUGGGUUUAAUGUUGGGUGAAGUUCAUCCAAAACAGUUCCAUGCUGAGAAUGUUUCUGACUUCUUUAUUUUUUUGCUUUUCGGUGUCAGGUGGUGAAAUGAGAGCCCUCCACAAACAGCCAGCGGCCGUGGAGGUGACCGGGCGGAGGAGGACUAUGGUGAUUUCCUGAAGCAGUAUGUUUUGUUUUAAAAAAAGGAGAACCACUCAAUGAAGAUGCAUCCUGUUGUUGCUCAGGGGGAUUUGAAGACAGGACAAGGAUUCUCUUUGAAAUAUGCACCAACAGGACAAGAGACAAAAUUCAGAAGUUGCACUUGGAGAAAAUCCAACUGUGUGUAAGAAAACAAAUGUUCCGUGUAAGGGUGGUCAAGUACAGGAACAUUUUCCCAGAAUGGCUGUGGACUUUCCAUCCAUGGAGAUACAACUAGACUGGAGAAGGCUUUGGGCCACCUAGGCUACCUUUGAAGAUAGCCCUGUUUGGAGCAGGAGGUUCAACCUGCAAAGAAUCUUUCCUAACUUUAAUUUUGCUGUGGUUUUAAAUACACUUCCUAGAAGAAUCCCUGUGGCAUGGGUGGAACAAUACCAGGCUAUAUUGCAAUGAGCUCUUAUACCUGAAACUAAAACUUCAAGACUGGGCAUGUAGACUGUAGUAUCUCAUAUCCACUCCGGAAUGGGCAGAGAGGGGAAAUUGUUACAUAAUCACCAGCAGAUUAUAUAAUAACAUUAAGAUUGUGAUUAGCUUCUUGAAGCCCUGGGAUCGCUUAGUAAUUUAUUUAUUUUUUUUCCCCUUGUUAAUCAGAAAUAUAUGGUUUUCUCAAGUCCAUAUUUAAAAAAGCAAGUGAACUGCCAGACCCUUGUUACUUGCUUUGGAGAAGAGAUGUCACCGUUUGACUCAGGUCCAACAACAGUGCUCUCGAUCCCCUCCCCCUCCCACCCAGGUAGGGAAGGAGAGAGAGAAAAAGAGAGAGACUUGGCUGGAUUGAAAACUAAACUACACAGCUUUAAUUAAACACUAAUGAUAUAAGAAAAUAUAUACAAUUAUAUACAAAUAUGUUCAUGUAUGAGCAAAAGCCUCUCACCUCCCCCCCACCCCCAGAAACUCCCACAACGCUCCCCUGAGCUGGAGCAGUCCUGAGAAAUCCCAGAGCUGCUGCUGGAGAAAGU